AACGUAGGUGGCGAGCGUUAUCCGGAUUUACUGGGCGUAAAGCGCUUGUAGGUGGUUUUGUAAGUUGGGCGUGAAAUCUCCGGGCUUAACUUGGAGAGGCCGUCCAAUACUGCGAGGCUAGAGGUUAUUCGAGGAAAGUGGAAUUCCUGGUGUAGUAGUGAAAUGCGUAGAUAUCAGGAGGAACACCCGUGGCGAAGGCGGCUUCCUGGACCAACACUGACGCUGAGGCGCGAAAGCUAGGGGAGCAAACGGG
rnacentral:rRNA from 1 species